AUGGAUCAAAGAACGCUGGCGUUGAAGAUGGCGGCCGACUUCCCCGUAGCUCCAGUGGACAGGUUACAUAUUUUCGCGGACGAGGCGUGCAGCGCUGCAAUUUUGAUGGAGAUGGUGCAGGCGGUAGGUCCGGCCGAAGUUCAUUCAGUCGGCGGAUCUAGAUGGGGAAUGGUUGAUGCUGGGGUCAGCGUUGUGGCCGGAUUCAGCGGUGCAGCGUACGGCGAGCAAGUCAGGGUGGAUGCCGGAGGUGUUGUGGUGUCUGAUUUGAAUGAGAGCGAGGAGGAUAACGCUGAUGCAUUUGAGCAAGGAGCGCAAGUGGAUGGGAUCCACGCCAUGGAUUCUGUGAUUGCAGACCAAGCGGAGAGUGAAGAUGCUGCUUCUGUACAUUCUACAGGGAAGAUUGAUCCACAAGCCCCAGGAUGGACAAGAAGGGUUAGGGUUGGGAAACAACCACCUGACCGCGCACCAUGCCUGGACAGGGGAUGUGCACUAGAGCAGACUAUCAGAGGAAAUGCUGACAAGCUAGGACCAAACGUGAUUGAGCCUGAGAUGCUGAUCCUAAACCUCUGA
rnacentral:rRNA from 1 species